rnacentral:rRNA from 1 species
UACGUAGGGUGCAAGCGUUGUCCGGAAUCAUUGGGCGUAAAGGGCGCGUAGGUGGCCUGGUCAGUUCGUGGUGAAAGCGCGGGGCUCAACUCCGCGUCGGCCAUGAAUACUGCUGGGCUUGAGCACUGUAGAGGCAGGCGGAAUUCCGGGUGUAGCAGUGAAAUGCGUAGAGAUCAUGAGGAAGACCAGUGGCGAAGGCGGGUCUCUGGACAGUUCCUGACACUGAGGCACGAAGGCCAGGGGAGCAAACGGG